rnacentral:lncRNA from 1 species
CUAUAGUUCCCAUCCUAACAGUUAAGGAGAGCAAUUUUAAACACGAAAAAUAACUUAACCAUCUAAUCACCUUUUAAACAAAAAAUUUAUUUUUACUUCAAAACUAUAGGUAAUCUCACCAACCUUCAUAUAAAGUAAUAAUAUUAUAAGUGUUAAUUUCACUGGUGCCCUUCAAAAGGUUAAUAAUAUCGUAAAUCGUACACCCCCACAAAAUCAGUAAUAUCAUCAUUACCCCUUUAAAUAUAUAAAUUCUUUCAAAUCUACCCUUAUUUGCAAAUUUCGUUAAAUUCAUAUGAGAUUAAAAAUUAAUUACCAAUUUUGCCCUUCAUCUUUGAAAGGUGUUGGAGGUUAUAGUGAGAAAAUAUUUAUUCAACUUCCUCAACUAUAGACUAUUUUAAAAAAGAUACCUAAUUUUUUUCCCUGCAUAAAAAACCCAUUCAAUUUUCAUUUUUUUGAUUUAAAUUAACUCCAUAAAUUAAAUUAUAUACAUUGUUCAAAACUAAAACACUCCAUUAGCCACUAACUAUU